GUGAAGAACGUAGUGAAAUGCGAUAAGUAAUGUGAAUUGCAGAAUUCAGUGAAUCAUCGAAUCUUUGAACGCACAUUGCGCCCCCCAGUAUUCUGGCGGGCAUGCCUGUUCGAGCGUCAUUUCAACCAUCAAGCCCUGCUUGUGUUGGGGUCCUGCGGCUGCCCGCAGGCCCUGAAAACCAGUGGCGGGCUCGCUAGUCACACCGAGCGCAGUAGCACAUCUCGCUCAGGGCGUGCGGCGGGCUCCAGCCGUUAAAGCACCCACCUUUCGCAAGGUUGACCUCGGAUCAGGUAGGAAUACCCGCUGAACUUAAGCAUAUCAAUAAGCGGAGGA
rnacentral:misc_RNA from 1 species